rnacentral:tRNA from 1 species
GACGCGGCGGGUUGCGUGCAGUAGCCCGUUGAACAUGGGCGGAGUGCUGCCACUCCGCCCGGUUCGAUGCCGGUCACAUCACCA